rnacentral:rRNA from 1 species
UAAUAUCGGAACGUACCCUGGAGUGGGGGAUAACGUAGCGAAAGUUACGCUAAUACCGCAUACGAUCUAAGGAUGAAAGUGGGGGAUUCGCAAGAACCUCAUGCUCCUGGAGCGGCCGAUAUCUGAUUAGCUAGUUGGUGGGGUAAAGGCCUACCAAGGCAUCGAUCAGUAGCUGGUCUGAGAGGACGACCAGCCACACUGGAACUGAGACACGGUCCAG